UGAGGAAUAUUGGUCAAGGGGCGAGAGCCUGAACCAGCCAAGUAGCGUGCAGGAUGACGGCCCUAUGGGUUGUAAACUGCUUUUAUGUGGGGAUAAAGUGCGUGACGUGUCAUGCAUUGCAGGUACCACAUGAAUAAGGACCGGCUAAUUCCGUGCCAGCAGCCGCGGUAAGACGGAAGGUCCGGGCGUUAUCCGGAUUUAUUGGGUUUAAAGGGAGCGUAGGCUGUCUAGUAAGCGUGUUGUGAAAUUUACCGGCUCAACCGGUGGCUUGCAGCGCGAACUGGACGACUUGAGUAUGCAGGAAGUAGGCGGAAUUCAUGGUGUAGCGGUGAAAUGCUUAGAUAUCAUGACGAACUCCGAUUGCGCAGGCAGCUUACUGUAGCAUAACUGACGCUGAUGCUCGAAAGUGCGGGUAUCAAACAGG
rnacentral:rRNA from 1 species